CUCCUAGUACGAGAGGACCGGAGUGGACGCAUCACUGGUGUUCGGGUUGUCAUGCCAAUGGCACUGCCCGGUAGCUAAAUGCGGAAGAGAUAAGUGCUGAAAGCAUCUAAGCACGAAACUUGCCCCGAGAUGAGUUCUCCCUGAGACUUUAAGUCUCCUGAAGGAACGUUGAAGACGACGACGUUGAUAGGCCGGGUGUGUAAGCGCAGCGAUGCGUUGAGCUAACCGGUACUAAUGAACCGUGAGGCUUAACCUU
rnacentral:rRNA from 1 species